rfam:Daphnia pulex DAPPTscaffold_154_Cont6111, whole genome shotgun sequence.
GCCUCUGUGGCGCAAUUGCUUAGAGCGUUCGGCUGUUAACCGGAAGGCUGGUGGUUCGAUGCCACCCAGGGGCG